ACACGACUACAUUAGAUACCCGUGUAGUCCUAGCCGUAAACGAUACUCGCUAGGUGUCGGCCACGGUGCGACCGUUGUCGGUGCCGUAGGGAAGCCGUGAAGCGAGCCACCUGGGAAGUACGGCCGCAAGGCUGAAACUUAAAGGAAAUUGGCGGGGAGCACAACAACGGGUGGAGCUUGCGGUUUAAUUGGAUUCAACGCCGGAAAUCUUACCGGGACCGACAGCAACAUGAAGGCCAAGCUGAAGACUUUGCCGGAUUAGCUG
rnacentral:rRNA from 1 species